GUAAUUCAGUUGAGUUAGUUUUCAAGUUGCAUGAGAUUUCAUUAACGUGACAUCACAUAUGUGUCAGUGAAUGUUUUAUCUUUCAUAUCUAAAAGCAUGUACCGAAUAUAGACCAAUAUAUUGUCGAAAGCACUCAGAUGAUAACAUAUAAUGUCCGCAUAUAAUGUCCAUCGCAGAUAUAUAGUAUUGAAAUGAAGUGCCAUACUGUUUAAAUUAACGAUGGAGAGCUGUUUUGUUCAAAUAAUGAACUUUUUUGUAAAUAAUGAUUUUUUAAGCAGGAGCUUGUGGGGCACGCUGACGACCGUGGACGCAAAUCAUACUCAAGAGUGAAGAAUAAAGAAAAUGUAUGCGCAGAAAGAUAAUACAUCGGCUACUUUAAUAUAAAUUAUUUGUUUGCGAAUUGCUUGUUUCUAUGACGAUUGCAGAGAACUCUAGUGGAGGUUCAGACGUUCAGUAGGUUCUGAGUAAGAUAUAAAUUGACGAUCAAUGUCUCAUAGUUAAGUUAAGUUAACAUAACUGUGAUCCGCAGUGCCAGAGUCGAAUAGUAUAGACAGAUGAUUGUCACGUUUAAUAUUGUAUUAUUAAUAAUAUAAGACUUAUGUUUAGUGUAACUGAACCACCUGCAUGUUGAAGUAGGUGCAAAUUUAGAGUGGAAUUUUUAUACACAAACAUUUUACAGUAUUUGGGGCAUCUUACUCGGUAUAACUAAACUAAGUGUUGAAUAGCCUGCGUAGCAGACGUGUUUUUAGGACUUGUGGGCGGGAAAAUUAGGGGGGGGGGGGAGAACUUUUUCCCGCCUGCAAGUCCUCCCCCAAGAAACCGUCUGCUAUACGCAGGCUAAGUGUUAAAGGGUUUGUUAUGGAAAUUUCGAGUGGAAUUUAGAACUACGUAUUUAAGUGUCAACCAAUCGUGGGAGUGUAGACUCUCUGUAGAAACAUGAAGACAGACAUUCUGUAAAGAUAUGUGGAGGGCGAAGCGUGAAAUGACCCACUGAUAUACUGACCUUGGCUUUGGAGAGGAGUUUACGCACACCCUAGCAAAUUUUUCACAUACGAUAGAGUGAUGAAUGACAGAUAAUGUCAACAAAUCGUAUUUGAUAAGUGUUUAAGAGUACUCUGUUUCAGUGCAAAGCAGCGCGUAUCAGCACUAAAGUAAAUAUUUUUCUAGCUAGGGUGGGUUGAAAAAUUUGAAUGUAAAUUUUCAAUGUAUAAAAUUGAAAGUCAAUUUCUCCCUUGUCUAAUGUCUAUAGUCUAUAGAGGCGUUGCAAUACAUGUUGUCGUUGAACGGGAAGCUGACAAUUGUGACUCAAUUCAGCAUCAAACAAUUUUCAUUUUCGGUUCAAAAAUAUAGAAAUUGGAAGAACGAGCCAGUUUAAUUAUUGUAUACUCUGCAUGUCAGAACCCUUUUAUUUCAGUUUGUAUGCAGCUUUGCAAUAUUUCAACAAAUCCAACGGCAACGUAGAAUAAGCUCGUUAUUUUGUAUUUUUAUAUAAGCACGACUUGUAUUAUUUAUAAGCAGUAUCAGUAUAUGAUGUAUUGUCGAC